rnacentral:rRNA from 1 species
UACGUAGGGGGCGAGCGUUGUCCGGAUUUAUUGGGCGUAAAGAGCUCGUAGGUGGUUUGGUAAGUCGGAUGUGAAAUCUCCAGGCUCAACCUGGAGGGGUCAUUCGAUACUGCCAUGACUAGAGGUCGGUAGGGGAGUGUGGAAUUCCUGGUGGAGCGGUGAAAUGCGCAGAUAUCAGGAGGAACACCCGUAGCGAAGGCGGCACUCUGGGCCGAUACUGACACUGAGGAGCGAAAGCGUGGGGAGCGAACAGG